rnacentral:rRNA from 1 species
CGUUCCCGGGCCUUGUACACACCGCCCGUCACGUCACGAAAGUCGGUAACACCCGAAGCCGGUGGCCUAACCCGCAAGGGGAGGAGCUGUCGAAGGUGGGACCAGCGAUUGGGACGAAGUCGUAACAAGGUACCC